rnacentral:snRNA from 1 species
GCGUGUGAAGGCCGAUCUGGCUGUGACAUCUGUCACCCCAUUGAUGGCCAGAGUUGGUGCGGCUGAUCUGGCCGGCCAGGCGGGUGUCUCCUUCCUCCCUGGCCACUCCGUGUGCGUCCCUCCCGAGCUGCUCCCCCGUCGAGGGGACAGCUUGCCCCAAGCAGAGGAGGACAGUCUUGGGUCAAUGGUAUGCAAGUAGCUAGAACCUCCCAACAAGCUCUCAAGGAAACAGAGCGGCGAUUCGUAGAGCUCCACUGACUUUCUCCUUUUUAUUCAGUCUGGGA